UAAAAUUUUAUUUUAAUUAAUCCCCUCUGUUUCCUAAUACCACCUUCAUCUCACAGUUUUUUUUGAGUUACAUUCAAACACAUCUCCAUUUUUCUUUUCUCUCCAACACAAAUUUCCUUUUCUCUCCAACACAGAUCUGCCACAAAUAUCCUUUUCUCUCCAACACAGAUCUGCCAUAAGCUCCUCCGUUCGCAUCUUCGACACAAAUUUCCUUUUCUUCCAACACAGAUCUUCCUCCAUUCGCGUCUUCGAAGGUAGUUUCCCUUUCUUCAUCUCCAACACAGAUCUGCCAUUUUUCCUCCAUUUUUACCAAUAAAAAGCCCUUUUUCACCAUUUAAAUCCAUCUUCUCACAGAUUAGAGUGAUCUUCACCGAUUGGUCUUCUUUUUCUUCCGAUUAAAAGCCUCUCCACCAUUUGUUCUUCAAUAUUCACCGUUCCAUCACUCACUCGAACCGAUUAAUCGGUUCAUAUUGUGUUUUCUCCCUUUUCUAGAGUUUAUGUGAGUUCAGAGAGGAGAGAAGAAGGAUUCGCGGGUUUGGAUGAGGGAAGAAGAAAACGUUGGCAGCACCGUCGGCGGCGAGUGGGGAUUCUGAGCAAAGGCAACGUGAACACGGUGGCAGGUUUUUAUUUUCGCUUUUGGCUGGCCACGGUGAGGCGCGGUGGUGCCGGUAAAGAGAAGAGCAGGCAGAGAAGAGCAGGCAUAUGGGGAUGAAGAAGAGACCUAAGUUGUCUUUUCAUUUUUGGAUGAAGAAAAUGAGAAACCCUAAUCUGAUUUGAACAAAAAAAUUGGGUCUUAGCUUGGACCAAUAUUCACUGGCAGUACUUCCACAAAUUUAUUGUUGCA
rnacentral:lncRNA from 1 species